CUUGUCCUGACCCAAACCGGAUUUUCUCUCUCAAAUCUUCUCCUCCCACCAUCUUCCCCUUCUCAAUAAAUAGCAGUUCCAUCCUCCCAGUUGUUCAGGCCAAAAAUCUGGAAGUUAUCUUUGACUCCUCUCUUGCUUUCACAGCUGACAUCAAGUCCAUCACCAAAUCCUACCAUUUCUACUUUCUAUGUCAACCAGAAUGUGACUUCACAAUGUCUCCACCGCAACUGUGUUUAUCCAAAUCACCAUUAUCUCUCACCUGGAUUACUCAGUAGCCUCCUAGCUGCUCUUCUGCCUCUGAUCUUGCUCCCUGUGGUCCACUAAGUACACAGUAAUCAGAGUGAUUGAGUAAAACAUAAGCAAUUAAGUAAGAAUUAUCUUUCCUCAGAAGCCCUCCUGGCACUUUAUCACUAUUUUGGAAAGAAAGUAGAAAGCAAGCUGAGGAGAAGUGAAGAGAUGAAGGGUGCAGGCUAUGGCACCCCACAAAACUGAGUGUGAAUCCUUAAAUGGGG
rnacentral:lncRNA from 1 species